GCCGGUGUAGCUCAGCUGGCUAGAGCAGCUGAUUUGUAAUCAGCAGGUCGUGGGUUCGAGUCCCUCCACUGGCUCAA
rnacentral:tRNA from 2 species